rnacentral:rRNA from 1 species
AUGCAGUCGAACGAUGAACCACUUCGGUGGGGAUUAGUGGCGAACGGGUGAGUAACACGUGGGCAAUCUGCCCUUCACUCUGGGACAAGCCCUGGAAACGGGGUCUAAUACCGGAUACAACACUCUCGGGCAUCCGAUGAGUGUGGAAAGCUCCGGCGGUGAAGGAUGAGCCCGCGGCCUAUCAGCUUGUUGGUGAGGUAACGGCUCACCAAGGCGACGACGGGUAGCCGGCCUGAGAGGGCGACCGGCCACACUGGGACUGAGACACGGCCCAGACUCCUACGGGAGGCAGCAGUGGGGAAUAUUGCACAAUGGGCGAAAGCCUGAUGCAGCGACGCCGCGUGAGGGAUGACGGCCUUCGGGUUGUAAACCUCUUUCAGCAGGGAAGAAGCGAAAGUGACGGUACCUGCAGAAGAAGCGCCGGCUAACUACGUGCCAGCAGCCGGGGGUAAUUC